rnacentral:pre_miRNA from 1 species
UUUUCAGGAUAAGUAUGUCCCAUGCAGUAUUUGAGACAUACUUAUCCUAAGU